rnacentral:misc_RNA from 1 species
GAUGAAGAACGCAGCAAAAUGCGAUAAGUAAUGUGAAUUGCAGAAUUCAGUGAAUCAUCGAAUCCUUGAACGCACAUUGCGCCCGCCAGUAUUCUGGCGGGCAUGCCUGUUCGAGCGUCAUUUCAACCCUCAAGCCCUCGGGUUUGGUGUUGGGGAUCGGCGAGCCUUUCUGGCAAGCCGGCCCCGAAAUCUAGUGGCGGUCUCGCUGCAGCCUCCAUUGCGUAGUAGUAAAACCCUCGCAACUGGAACGCGGCGCGGCCAAGCCGUUAAACCCCCAACUUCUGAAUGUUGACCUCGGAUCAGGUAGGAAUACCCGCUGAACUUAAGCAUAUCAAUAAGCGGAGGA